UGGGGAAUUUUGGACAAUGGGCGAAAGCCUGAUCCAGCAAUGCCGCGUGCAGGAUGAAGGCCUUCGGGUUGUAAACUGCUUUUGUACGGAACGAAAAGGCUCUGGCUAAUACCUCUUGAUCUUGACGGUACCUCUGAAGGAAGCACCGGCUAACUCCGUGCCAGCAGCCGCGGUAAUACGGAGGGUGCAAGCGUUGUUCGGAAUUAUUGGGCGUAAAGCGCGUGUAGGCGGUCUUUUAAGUCUGAUGUGAAAGCCCCGGGCUCAACCUGGGAAGUGCAUUGGAAACUGGGAGGCUUGAGUACGGGAGAGGAGAGUGGAAUUCCUAGUGUAGGAGUGAAAUCCGUAGAUAUUAGGAGGAACACCGGUGGCGAAGGCGGCUCUCUGGACCGAUACUGACGCUGAGACGCGAAAGCGUGGGUAGCAAACAGGAUUAGAUACCCUGGUAGUCCACGCCGUAAACGAUGAGUACUAGGUGUUGCGGGUAUUGACCCCUGCAGUGCCGUAGCUAACGCAUUAAGUACUCCGCCUGGGAAGUACGGUCGCAAGACUA
rnacentral:rRNA from 1 species